GAUGAACGCUGGCGGCGUGCCUAAUACAUGCAAGUCGAGCGAACGGACGAGAAGCUUGCUUCUCUGAUGUUAGCGGCGGACGGGUGAGUAAAACGUGGAUAACCUACCUAUAAGACUGGGAUAACUUCGGGAAACCGUAGCUAAUACCGGAUAAUAUUUUGAACCGCAUGGUUCAAAAGUGAAAGACGGUCUUGCUGUCACUGAUAGAUGGAUCCGCGCUGCAUUAGCUAGUUGGUAAGGUAACGGCUUACCAAGGCAACGAUGCAUAGCCGACCUGAGAGGGUGAUCGGCUACACUAGAAGUGAGACACGGUCGAGACUCCUACGGGAGGCCGCAGUCGGGAAUCUUACGGAAUGGGCGAAAGCCUGACGGAGCAACGCCGCGUGAGUGAUGAAGGUCUUCGGAUCGUAAAACUCUGUUAUAAGGGAGGAACAUAUGUGUAAGUAACUGUGCACAUCUUGACGGUACCUAAGCAGAAAGCCACGGCUAACUACGUG
rnacentral:rRNA from 1 species